GCUGGGCAUGGUGGCGCGUGCCUGUAAUCCCAGCUACUCAGGAGGCUGAGGCAGGAGGAUUGCUUGAACCCGGGAGGUGGAGGUUGCAGUGAGCUGAGAGCGUGCCACUGCAUUCCAGCCUGGGCAACAGAGAGAGACUCUGUCUCAA
rnacentral:SRP_RNA from 1 species